rnacentral:misc_RNA from 1 species
UCCUCUUUACAGAGGCAGUUUGUUCCAAGUUCCCGGCAUGACCCGCUGGUAACAGAACAUGAGGGUUGCGCUCGUUGCGGGACUUAACCCAACAUCUCACGACACGAGCUGACGACAGCCACGCACCACCUGUGUAGGGCCCGUAAGGACACCGUAUCUCUACGGCUUUUCCCUACAUGUCAAGCCCAGGUAAGGUUCUUCGCGUCGCCUCGAAUUAAACCACAUGCUCCACCGCUUGUGCGGACCCCCGCCAAUUCCUUUGAGUUUCAAUCUUGCGAUCGUACUUCCCAGGUGGGAUACUUAAUGCUUUCGCUCAGACACUUGCAGUGUAUCGCAAAUGUCGAGUAUCCAUAGUUUAGGGCGUGGACUAC